rnacentral:rRNA from 1 species
GAUGAACGCUGGCGGCGUGCUUAACACAUGCAAGUCGAACGAUGAAAGCGGGAGCUUGCUCCUGCUGGAUUAGUGGCGAACGGGUGCGUAACACGUGAGCAAUCUGCCCCGAACUCUGGGAUAAGCGUUGGAAACGACGUCUAAUACCGGAUACGACGCGCGAAGGCAUCUGCUGCGCGUGGAAAGAACUUCGGUUCGGGAUGCGCUCGCGGCCUAUCAGCUAGUUGGUGAGGUAACGGCCCACCAAGGCGACGACGGGUAGCCGGCCUGAGAGGGUGACCGGCCACACUGGGACUGAGACACGGCCCAGACUCCUACGGGAGGCAGCAGUGGGGAAUAUUGCACAAUGGGCGCAAGCCUGAUGCAGCAACGCCGCGUGAGGGACGACGGCCUUCGGGUUGUAAACCUCUUUUAGUAGGGAAGAAGCGAAAGUGACGGUACCUGCAGAAAAAGCACCGGCUAACUACGUGCCAGCAGCCGCCGUAAGAC